CACGGAGUUAGCCGGUGCUUAUUCCUCUGGUACCGUCACACAGGGACGCAUCCCUGCUCUUCUUCCCAGAUAAAAGCCGUUUACAACCCUGAGGGCCUUCAUCCGGCACGCGGCAUGGCUGGGUCAGACUUGCAUCCAUUGCCCAAUAUUCCCUACUGCUGCCUCCCGUAGGAGUCGGGCCCGUAUCUCAGUGCCCGUGUGGGGGAUCGACCUCUCAGCUCCCCUACCGAUCGUCGCCUUGGUGGGCCGUUACCCCGCCAACUAGCUAAUCGGACGCAUGCCCAUCUACCACCGAUAAAUCUUUAACAAAUAGACCGAUGCCGGCCCCCUGUAUUAUGCGGUAUUAAUCCGGGUUUCCCCGGGCUAUCCCCCAGUGAUAGGUAGGUUGCAUACGCGUUGCGCACCCGUUCGACGGUGACACCGAAGUGCCCCCUCGCCUUGCAUGUAUUAGGCCUGCCGCUAGCGUUCAUCCUGAGCCAGGAUCAAACUC
rnacentral:rRNA from 1 species